rnacentral:rRNA from 1 species
UGGAGGGCAGUCUGGUGCAGCAGCCGCGGUAAUUCCAGCUCCAUAGCGUAUAUUAAAGUUGUUGCAGUUAAAAAGCUCGUAGUUGAAUUUCGGGGUUCUACCGUUGGUCGGGCUUUGUCUGUACUGGUGUGUAGAAUUUCUACCUUCUGGGGAACCAUCAUGCUAUUAAUUUAGCGUGGUGGGAAACCAGGACCUUUACCUUGAAAAAAUUAGUGUGUUCAAAGCAGGCUUAUGUCUGAAUACAUUAGCGUGGAAUAAUAGAAUAGGACGGUGGUCCUGUUUUGUUGGUUUCUGAAUCACCGUAAUGAUUAAUAGGGAUAGUUGGGGGCAUUAGUAUUCAAUUGUCAGAGGUGAAAUUCUUGGAUUUAUUGAAGACUAACUUCUGCGAGAGCAUUUGCCAAGGAUGUUUUCAUUAAUCAAGAACGAAAGUUGGGGGAUCGAAGACGAUCAGAUACCGUCGUAGUCUUAACCAUGAACUAUGCCGACUAGGGAUCGGACGAUGUUAAUUUUUCUUGACUCGUUCGGCGCCUUACGGGAAAC